rnacentral:lncRNA from 1 species
AGUGCAGUCUACACCUGUCCGCUGACUAAAUGAACCAGCAGAGUCACCACUACCAAACCUCAGGGCUGGGGAUGGGAAGGAUAAUCUCUUACACUCUUCCAAGAGAUUCUCCAAUAGGAGAACUUCCGGAUGAACCAGGAAUCCUGUGAUGAUAGUGAGCCGAGGGUGACUCUUCCUUGCAUCACUUUACGGAGAUACUUAUCAAAUGCCCAAACAAGGCCCAUAAAUCGCUCACUUCCCUGGUCGGCUCAUACCGUUCCCAGCCCCAUGUGGUCUAUCAAAGGGUCGCUUGGUGAGAGGCCAAGCCGCCAGACGUCUUCCCUCGGUGCUUUUUUAAUUUCCUCUCUUCCUUCCUUUAUUCUCCAAGAUACUACAUCUUUAAAUAAAAGGCAAUGC